UCCAGAGCUGGUCGCACAAGGGAGCCUCUUGGGGAGCUUGGUCCCUUGCCCCUUCGUGAGCUGCCUGAUGUGUGGAGAAAAGGACGGUGAGAGGGGAAAGAAUUGAGGUCUAGGGGCUGGACCAAGUCUAUGGCUUCCUCUGGGGUGGUUUGGGGGUUCCUCCUUUUCUCGCUGUUGGGGAUGUAGCCACGCCUUCUAUUCUGGGUCCCUUAAGGAGGCUGGGCAAGAAAAAAACACACAGAAGGGGCCCUAGCACAUUCAAAGCUGGGGUGUUGCAGGAAGGGAGAUUCUAGGAGCUGUUGGGGUUCAGGACAGUGUUCCUAUCUGUCAAUCUGCACAUGAAAAAGAGUAGGGAUUGUGUUUUUCCAAAGGUUAAGGUUUGUGACAGUCAGCCUUCGCUUUUGCCAGCGGUCUCUCUCUCUCUCUCUCUCUCUCUCUCUCUCUCUCUCUCUCUCUCUCUCUCUCUCUCUCUCUCUCUCUCUCUCUCUCUCUCUCUCUCUCUUUCCUGGAGACCCUUCACCUCAUUUGACAGGCUGGGAGACCUAGGCCUUGGUCAGAGGUGGAGGGGGCUUUUUUUCACUUGGGCCAAGGCAGGGCCAAGGCGAAGCUCACCACCCGGCGCCCCUCGAUCCUCCUGAGAGCAAGGAUCGUGCUUGUCUGUCCCGCGCGCCCGCUGGGAUGUUCCGCCAGUGGUCGGUGCAGUCAGGACCGGCCCCCCGACGGCCUGGAUCCCUUGCGGCAGCUGAGGAGCUGUGGGAGGAAGAAGUGGAGCGGCUGUGCGCCUCCCGGGAGCCGGUACGGAUGCUGCCCUACGCCAUGGCCGACAGGCGCUUCAUCCGGGAACUGCGGGAGCCCGAGGGGGUAAAGACCUCCUGCCGGCAGCGGUGGUGUCGCAGAGGGCAGGUGGCCCGACAGUACCUCAGGGAGGCUGCGCAGAAGCUGGCCCAUGGCUUCGGGCUUUGGGAGGGAGCGCUCUACGAGAUUGGGGGCCUCUUCGGGACCGGGAUCCAGUCAUACUUCACUUUCCUUCGCUUCCUGCUGCUGCUCAACCUGCUGACCCUGCUGAUGACCACCAGUUUCAUCCUGCUGCCCCUGGUCUGGCUGCGCCACCCUGAGCGAGGCCCUGCCUUGAAACUGACAGGCCUCCAGUGCUCUGGCAGCCACCUGUCCCAGAGCGGCAUUCCGAAGUUCCACAACCCACUUUGGAAUAUUUUAACGGGCAGGGCCUUCAACAACACCUAUCUCUUCUAUGGUGCCUACCGGGCAGAGCCAGAACACAGCUCAGCAUACAGCAUCCGCCUGGCCUACCUCCUCACCCCAAUGGCGUGCCUGCUCCUCUGCUUCUGCGGGACACUGCAGCGGAUGGUACAGGGACUGCCACAGCAGCCACUCCUGGGCCAGGGCUACAGGGCGCCCCUCAGCGCCAAAGUCUUCUCGUCCUGGGACUUCUGCAUCCGGGUGUGGGAAGCUGCCACCAUCAAGAAACAUGAAAUCAGCAAUGAACUGAAGGUGGAGCUGGAAGAGGGCCGCCGCCUGGAGCUGGCUCAACAGCAGACCCGCACCCAGAAGGCCUGUCACCUGCUCUCCUACCUAAGGACCAAUGUCCUCAUUGCACUCCUAGUGGUUGGAGCCAUCAGCGCCAUCUUCUGGGCCACCAAGUACUCACAGGACAACAAGGAGGAGUCCCUUUUCCUGGUGCUGCAGUACCUGCCCCCUGGAAUCAUUGCCCUGGUCAACUUCCUGGGUCCCCAACUGUUCACGGUCCUGAUCCAGCUGGAGAACUUCCCUCCCAGCACUGAGGUCAACCUCACCCUAAUCUGGUGCGUGGUGCUGAAGCUGGCCAGCCUGGGGAUGUUCUCCUUCUCGCUGGGUCAGACUGUGCUGUGCAUAGGCAGAAACAAGACCAGCUGCGAGACCUACGGCUACAACGCCUGCGAAUACCAGUGCUGGGAGAACUCGGUGGGCGAAGAGUUAUAUAAAUUAAUCAUCUUCAACUUCCUGCUCACCGUGGCCUUCGCCUUCCUGGUCAGCCUGCCUCGGAGGCUGUUAGUGGAGCGCUUCUCAGGCUGGUUCUGGACUUGGCUGGACCGGGAGGAGUUCCUGGUGCCCAAGAAUGUGCUGGACAUCGUGGCUGCGCAGACUGUCACCUGGAUGGGCCUCUUCUACUGCCCCCUGCUGCCGCUCCUCAACAGUAUCUUCCUCUUUCUCACCUUCUACAUCAAGAAGUACACCCUCCUGAGGAACUCCAGGGCGUCCCCAAGGCUGUUCCGAGCCUCCAGCUCUACCUUCUUCUUCCAACUGGUCUUGCUCCUGGGCUUGCUCUUGGCUGUGGUCCCUCUGGCCUACGUGAUCAGCAGCACCCACUCCUCCUGGGACUGUGGCCUCUUCACCAACUAUUCAGCCCCCUGGCAGGUGGUGCCAGAGCUGGUGACCCUCCAGCUCCCACUUCCUGGCCAGCGUGCCCUCCGGUACCUCAGCUCCCACGCCUUCAGCUUCCCUCUCCUCGUUCUGCUCAGGAGCCCCUGGCCAAGCAGCCUCACCAUGCUGGAGCUGUUACAGCGAGGGAGGAAGGGGAGUCUUCAGAUAACACAGCGUGCACAGAGCUUUGAGAUUGAGAGGGUAGAUCCGGUGUGGUGGCGCACAUCGGCGAUCCCAGCACUUGGGAGGCUGAGGCAGGAGGAUGGCUGUGAAUUUGAGGACACCCUGCUUACAGACCUCGUCCUGACCGUGUGUGUUUCCCAGUCCCGGGCGAACGCCAGAGCCAUCCAAGGACUGCGGAAGCAGCUGGUGUGGCAGGUCCAGGAGAAGUGGCACCUGGUGGACGACUUGUCGCGGCUGCUGCCCGAGCUAAGCCCGGAGCCCGAGUCCCCUCGCUCUCGAGCUUCACGUCCGCGGUCCUUCUGCCCCGGAUUCCCGUGCCCAGGUUCACCCGGCCCCAGGACACCCCGGCUGGGACCCUCCACCAGGCUGAGUUCCUCGAGCCCCGGAGCCCCCAGUGUCUCGGUUCCUGUCUCCAGAUUUCACUUCCCUAGCCGCACAGAGAUGUAGCACCGAUCGCCCCACAGCCCACCCCACCCCCAGCUCUGCUGCAGCUUCCUCCGGUGCCUCCACUCCCAUCCCUUACCCAAGGAUCCAUAGUCUCAGGAGCCACUGCCUACAGCUGGCCCCAGGCUUCAUCCUCAGAAGAAUUCAAAUUUCUUGGGAAGGGGUUCUCAGAAGUGUUUGUAUACCUCUCUCCAUGACGCUGCAAGCCCUGGUCUGGAACAGGCUUCCGGGCACUGAGGGCUCUUCGGUGCCCCCCACAUUGUACCACCCACCUGUGCUCAGCAAGUGGCCAGGCCGGAACUUGAGCCAGAUACAUGGCCUCCGAGACACACUAAAGUGGAAUAAGGUCUGGGUCACGCCUGAUCCUGAGAGUGACUUGCUGAAGUUGAGUGACAUCUGGGUCCCUUGGGGAAAACAAGCAGCACAGAGUUCACAGCCACACCUCUGCC